AACAUUUAUCCAAUCGAUUCCUCAAUCGAUUGAUGUAAUGAAAACACUUGUUCUGAGUCAGACAAUCGAUUUAUCAAUCGAUUCAUCAAUUGACUUUUUGGUUGAUUGAUUUUCAUUCAUAGGCAAAGACUUAAGUGUGAGACCAUAGUGAUUAGUCUACUAAACUUAUUACUAAGACACUUAAUAACACUAUACAAUUUUUGCGUCUUUCUCAAGUGCAUCCUCCAACUUUGGUUGAUUCCUUGAGUUGCAAGCUAUUGUUCCAA
rnacentral:lncRNA from 1 species